AUUGAACGCUGGCGGCAGGCCUAACACAUGCAAGUCGAACGAGUGGCGGACGGGUGAGUAAUGUCUGGGAAACUGCCUGAUGGAGGGGGAUAACUACUGGAAACGGUAGCUAAUACCGCAUACUAUCGGAUGUGCUCAGAUGGGAUUAGCUAGUAGGUGGGGUAAAGGCCCACCUAGGCGACGAUCCCUAGCAGGUCUGAGAGGAUGACCAGCCACACUGGGACUGGGACACGAGCCAGUCUCCAGCGGGAGGCAGCAGUGGGGAAUAUUGCACAAUGGGCGCAAGCCUGGUGCAGCCAUGCCGCGUGUAUGAAGAAGGCCUUCGGAUUGUAAAGUACUUUCAGCGGGGAAGCGUUACCCGCAGAAGAAGCACCGGCUAACUCCGUACCAGCAGCCGCGGUAAUAC
rnacentral:rRNA from 1 species